ensembl:lincRNA
AGCAAAAAGAAAUCAGAGUGGGAAAUGGUGAUUUAAAAGCAUAUUCUGACUUUCCCCCCUUCUUUCUUCAGGUCCUGGAUGCCUCUUCCCUUAGUUUCAACACCAGAGUGAAAUGGUUUGUCAUAUGCUUCGUAUGUGGCAUUCUCUGUUCUCUCCUUGGAACUGGAUUGCUGUGGCUUCCCCAAGGCAUGAAACUUUUUGCAGUGUUUUAUACUCUUGGAAAUAUUUCUGCAUUAGCCAGGUGUGUAUGUUAAGUUUGGCUUCUCAAGAUAUCUUGUUUGCUGUUACUAUAAACAUACCUUUCUUUUUUUUUUUUUUAAAGAUUUAUUUAUUUAUUUAAUUCCCCCCCUCCCCUGGUUGUCUGUUCUUGGUGUCUAUUUGCUGCGUCUUGUUUCUUUGUCCGCUUCUGUUGUCAUCAGCGGCACAGGAAGUGUGGGCGGCGCCAUUCCUGGGCAGGCUGCUCUUUCUUUUCACGCUGGGCGGCUUUCCUCACGGGCGCACUCCUUGCGCGUGGGGCUCCCCUACGCGGGGGACAGCCUUGCGUGGCACGGCACUCCUUGCGCGCAUCAGCACUGCGCAUGGCCAGCUCCACACGGGUCAAGGAGGCCCGGGGUUUGAACCGCGGACCUCCCAUAUGGUAGACGGACGCCCUAACCACUGGGCCAAAGUCCGUUUCCCAACAUACCUUUCUGUUAAGCACUUCCCUAAUAGGAUAUAUUCAUCUCCAUACAUAUCGUGAAUUUAGCCAAAACAUUUGGAUUUGUUCACUAAAUAUUUAUGGACUCCUAUGUGCCACCUACCAUUCUAGGCAAAAUAUAAGUGAUAAAGCUUAGCUAGUGUUUGGGGUACGUACUGUGUGCUCGGGACUAUCCUAAGUGCUUUAUGUUUAUUACAGCAAGUUUAUGAGGAGGUGCUAUUAUUGUCCCCAUUUUUUAGCUGGAAGUUAUAGCACAGUGAGGUUCAGUAACUUGCCCACAGUUACAUAACAGGUCCCUGAGGCAGGCUUCCCACCUGACGGUCUGUUUCCAGAGCCCAGGCUUUUAGCCACUGUGCUCCGUUGCUUGCUAUCAUGGUGCCUACCUUUUAGUGCCGAGAGACAGUCAAUCCUAAGCAAGAAAAGCUGCACCAUGCGGAGUUGGCAUAAGGCGCCGCCGUAGCGCCUGGCGGAGCUGCUUUAGAGUGCGUGUUCGGGGGAGUCUGCGGUGCAGCUUCGGGCUGAUGUCUGUUGGAAGAGUUAACAAACAUGAGCUCUGCAUUGGCGCUCUGCGCUCUUUCCUUCCUUUAGAAGUUUCGGCAUCCAUCCAGAGGUAUUAUCAAGGGAAUGUGACACGGGCCAAGGCCAGCUCAGUCCACUUUCAGAUGCUCGUACCUGUAAUGAUGAAUUUUGGUGGUUUUUGGAACUGACAGUGAUUCUCCUUCAAAUUACAAUAUAAAAGGAGCCUCAUUUAGGAAGUCGGUUACUUUGACAGUCAUGCAUGGAAGUUGUUUUUCCUUGUUCUGAAGUUCAUUGUGUAGAGAGAGAAACGAGUAGAAGCGACUGGAUUGGUACAAACUAAGAAGAAACUGCUUUACUAGCUUAGGAUCACUCUAUCUUUGGUGUUCACCCAUAGCUAUAAAAUAAUGCUGGAAGUAUGUUGUAAAAAGGCAUUUAUGUAUAAUAGAAACCUAAAAUAUGAACAUUUCCUUUUAGUAUAAAGGCAAAAAAAAAUACUUAGUGAGAAGUUUUUACUAAAUAAACGUAAGGUUUCUUUUUCUUUUAAAGUUUUUUUUUUUUUUUAAUAUAACCUGGCAAAUUAGUAGACCCAUAUCUCAAUUUCUUGUGUUUGUUUCAAAUAGUACAUGUUUUUUAAUGGGACCCAUGAAGCAACUGAAGAAAAUGUUUGAAACUACAAGAUUGCUUGCAACAAUUCUUAUGCUUGUAAGUAAAUAAUGAUAAUUUUUUUAAAAAUUUAAGUAUAUUUUGUACAUAAUUGCCAGCUCUUAUAUAUGUUCUAUUGUUAUAGCUUUCUUGUAUAUAAUAAUUAUAUCCUUAAGGCUGUGUGCUUUAAAAGUUUGGAUUAUGCCAU